rnacentral:rRNA from 1 species
UACAGAGGGGGCAAGCGUUGUUCGGAAUUACUGGGCGUAAAGAGCGCGUAGGCGGCCCGCUAAGUCGAACGUGAAAUCCCCGGGCUCAACCCGGGAACUGCGUCCGAUACUGGUGGGCUUGAAUCCGGGAGAGGGAUGCGGAAUUCCAGGUGUAGCGGUGAAAUGCGUAGAUAUCUGGAGGAACACCGGUGGCGAAGGCGGCAUCCUGGACCGGUAUUGACGCUGAGGCGCGAAAGCCAGGGGAGCAAACGGG